rnacentral:rRNA from 1 species
GAUGAACGCUGGCGGCGUGCCUAAUACAUGCAAGUCGAGCGAAUGGAUUAAGAGCUUGCUCUUAUGAAGUUAGCGGCGGACGGGUGAGUAACACGUGGGUAACCUGCCCAUAAGACUGGGAUAACUCCGGGAAACCGGGGCUAAUACCGGAUAACAUUUUGAACCGCAUGGUUCGAACUUGAAAGGCGGCUUCGGCUGUCACUUAUGGAUGGACCCGCGUCGCAUUAGCUAGUUGGUGAGGUAACGGCUCACCAAGGCAACGAUGCGUAGCCGACCUAGGAGGGUGAUCGGCCACACUGGGACUGAGACACGGCCCAGACUCCUACGGGGGGCAGCAGUAGGGAAUCUUCCGCAAUGGAGGAAAGUCUGACGGAGCAACGCCGCGUGAGUGAUGAAGGCUUUCGGGUCGUAAAACUCUGUUGUUAGGGAAGAACAAGUGCUAGUUGAAUAAGCUGGCACCUUGACGGUACCUAACCAGAAAGCCACGGCUAACUACGUGCCAGCCGCCGCCGUAA